AACAAACGCUGGCGGCGUGCCUAACACAUGCAAGUCGUACGAGAAAGGGUCCUUCGGGGCCUGAGUAAAGUGGCGCACGGGUGAGUAACGCGUGGAUAAUCUGCCCUUCAGUUGGGAAUAACUCAUCGAAAGGUGGGCUAAUACCGAAUAAUGCUGUGAGACCUCGGUUGAUCAGCCAAAGAGAGCCUCUGCUUGCAAGCCCUCGCUGAAGGAUGAGUCCGCGUACCAUUAGCUAGUUGGUAGGGUAAUGGCCUACCAAGGCGACGAUGGUUAGCUGGUCUGAGAGGAUGAUCAGCCACACUGGAACGGAGACACGGUCCAGACUCCUACGGGAGGUAGCAGUGAGGAAUCUUGCGCAAUGGGGGCAACCCUGACGCAGCAACGCCGCGUGAGUGAGGAAGGUCUUCGGAUCGUAAAGCUCUGUCGGAUGGAAAGAACCGCAUAGGGGUAAACAGCCCCUGUGUCUGACGGUACCAUCAAAGGAAGCACCGGCUAACUCCGUGCCAGCCGCCGCCGUAAUAC
rnacentral:rRNA from 1 species